GGGAAUAUAGUUCAGUGGUAGAACAUUUGCUUAGCAUGCUGAAGUCCUGGGUUUAACCCCCAGCAUCA
rfam:Ictidomys tridecemlineatus contig013369, whole genome shotgun sequence.